rnacentral:snRNA from 1 species
UGAACCACUUCGUUCUCCGA